GAUGAAGAACGUAGCGAAAUGCGAUACGUAAUGUGAAUUGCAGAAUUCAGUGAAUCAUCGAAUCUUUGAACGCACAUUGCGCCUGCCAGCACUCUGGCAGGCAUGCCUGUUCGAGCGUCAUUUCAACCAUCAAGCCCUAGGCUUGCGUUGGAGCCCUGCGGCUGCCGCAGGCCCCUAAAAGCAGUGGCGGGCUCGCUAUCACACCGAGUGCAGUAGAUUACUCUUCGCUCAGGGCGUGUGGCGGGUUCCAGCCGUGAAACCCCCUACUUCUCAAGGUUGACCUCGGAUCAGGUAGGAAUACCAGCUGAACUUAAGCAUAUCAAUAAGCGGAGGA
rnacentral:misc_RNA from 1 species